AAAGUCUGAUGGAGCAACGCCGCGUGAGUGAUGAAGGUUUUCGGAUCGUAAAACUCUGUUGUAAGGGAAGAACCAGUACGUCAGGCAAUGGACGUACCUUGACGGUACCUGACUAAGAAGCCCCGGCUAACUACGUGCCAGCAGCCGCGGUAAUACGUAGGGGGCAAGCGUUAUCCGGAUUUACUGGGUGUAAAGGGAGCGUAGACGGCACUGCAAGUCUGGAGUGAAAGCCCGGGGCUCAACCCCGGGACUGCUUUGGAAACUGUGGUGCUAGAGUGCAGGAGAGGUAAGUGGAAUUCCUAGUGUAGCGGUGAAAUGCGUAGAUAUUAGGAGGAACACCAGUGGCGAAGGCGGCUUACUGGACUGUAACUGACGUUGAGGCUCGAAAGCGUGGGGAGCAAACA
rnacentral:rRNA from 1 species